rnacentral:lncRNA from 10 species
CACAGCACUUCUCAAACCCAAAGUGCAACAAGGAAACAUUUCAGUGGGAGAGAGGACGUUCUCACCAUUGUCCUUGCCUGUGGUGUCAAGGGGAGGGUCAGGUGGAGGCAGCCAGCUGUGAGUGAGGAACAGCACAAGACUGCUGAGAAGCUGAUAUUAAGAAGGCAGAGCCAGAUGGCCAGACAGAAGCUUCUACCAAACCUCCUCCUCACAGGAGCACCAGAUUGGACAACCAUCCACACAAAAAAGUACCUUCAUGAGAACCACAAUUCAGGUUCUUACCAAGCCAGAUAAGUGGUUGUCAUGGAGACGAUACGUUGUGACAACAACUGUGGUGCCAGGUGUUCAGAGCAGCACACUGGCACCCCACUCCCAGAGAGGAUGCUGAAGCAGAUUGAAUCACUUUAGGAGAAAAGCACACUUAGGCACGAAGCCCUGGCUUUUCUUCUUCUUUCUUCUGUGUCUAUAAUGUGUUUUAUCUUAAAUAAAACUUCAUAAAUGCCAUA